UAUUUAAAUAAAGUACACAUGGAGGCUUCAGAAAGCUUAGAAAAAAAGAAUAAACAGCACAUGAAGAAGGAGGAUGAAAAUCUAAUGCCAGGAGAGCACGCCAGGAAAGAAAACACAGAGGAGGAAGAAGGGUGCCAAAGACAAUGUCUUAUUUUGGAAUUUGUCCUUCUUGACCCUGAUGAUGAAGUUCCCAGGCCAGAGAUUAAACCCAUA